CAUUCCGAGGAGCGUUGCAGCGGCCCCCAUUCUGUUGACAGACAUGGCGAGGACGUGAGGCUCGGAACCCUACUUUGCAACGACGCUCAUCCACU
rnacentral:ncRNA from 2 species